AGGGCUCGAUAUGAAUCACGACUAUAUGGUUAAACUGCACCGCAAAAUGUGGUAGUAGUUAGGAAUCUAAAUCGUAGGAGACAGACAGCACACAACCUCACUUUUAUAUAUAAAGAUUUAUCUCAUGAUUUGAUAGUACUGAAGCAGUUGAUGAAAACUUAUCUACACCAUUUUAUUCUAGCAAUUUAUUUCUCAUUUUCCUUUUGUUCCUCAUCUUACGUCGAGGGACGAUUAGUCCUCGUUUUUGUUUCCUUUUUCCAAAAAGAAACUAUGAAAAUGCAUAUUUUAAAAUACUUUUUAGAGAUUUAUUAUACGUUCUGACACGAAUCCAAAUAUAUCCAGUGGGAACAUUUUCGAUGCUUUCAUUGAGACUUUUAAUAGAAAUCAUCAUCCAAAAAGACAAAAAACUUGCUUUUCCUGUAAAUAUAAAUUGUAUAUCUUUCUGGUUUAUGAAAUCACAAUUCCACGGUUGUUUAUAAAAAAAAAAAAAAUAAUAAUAAUAGUGGUUCUUCAGCUUUGUAAAUUGUUUUUAGAUUUUCCUCAUGUUCGCUUCCUAUUCGUCUUGUUCUUUCUUUGAAUAUACUUUCAAGAGCUUUUGUUUUGUGUGUGUGCAUGGAUGUAUCCAUAUAUAUGUAUAUAUAUGUAUUUAUAUAUAUAUAUAUAUAUAUAUACACAUGCAUAUGUGUUUAUAUAUAUACAUACGCACAUGCAUGUAUGUAUAUAUUAUAUAUAUGUAUGUAUGCAUGCAUGGCUUGUGUUUGUAUGUUAAGGAAACCAAGUGUAACUGUUCUGUAUCUUUAAGUCCCUGCAAGCCCCCAACUCCUACCCACCCACCUUCAAUGUUAAAAAAAAAAAAAACAUCUAUCUAGUAUUAAAAAAUACAACAAAACGUCUUUCAUACACAAAUUCCACAUUUACCAGUAACAGCAAUAAUAUUUUUUGAAAGAUUGAAUAAUUGGAAUAAUUUAAUUUGUUACUGUCAUAUUUAUUCCUUACACAAUGUGUAUGGAUGCAUAUAUGCCUUUAUGUAUGUAUGUAUAUCAUGUAUGUGUGUGUAUCUGUACUAAAGUGUAGGAGUUUACUUAAUGUGUGUCAAAGCUGUCCACUACAUUAUCAAUGUUGACCAAAUGGCUAUAUACCAGCUCUCCCUAAUAGAUGUGUGCUUGUUGAAUAGUUUGAUUUGUAUUAUAAUUCUACUGACAAAUAUCAUAUUAGUGUGUAUAUAUAUAUUUGAUCAGUCAAAUUCCCUUGUAAUCGUAUAUUACGUUGGCAGUGGCUGGGGUACCUUGAAUUAGUCGUUAGUUAUGACAACGGGGAAACUUACCUAAUAAUUUGAAUAGCAUGUCUGUGUAUUAAGAAGAAAAAAAAAAAAACGAAAAAAAUCUAUCAAACAACCGAAAUAUGCAUUUUAUGUAAAAUUUGUUACUAUCAUUGACCUUAAAAAAAAAAAGCCUGCAGUUCAGACAGUGGUGACUUCAUAUGAAACAAAUUAAAAAUUGCAAUCGCUUGCUCUCGUUUGUCCUCACAUUGUUUCAAAUUCAAUCGCUGUCACUGCUGCCAUCAUUCUUAUUGACAUGCACUAGCUAUAAACAAGUUCAAUAGAAACUAAUUGACGUGUGCGAUGUCUAAUAUGCAAGACAAUUUUCUUCAAAAAAACAAAAGUCCUUUGAGUGAUUCACUCCAAGAGGAAAAUUUCUGUUUUGAAUAAAAACAAAUCUUUAUCAUU